rnacentral:rRNA from 1 species
AUACGUAGGUGGCAAGCGUUGUCCGGAAUUACUGGGCGUAAAGGGCGAGUAGGCGGUCUUACCAGUCAGAUGUGAAAGGCGAGGGCUCAACCCUCGGACUGCAUUUGAAACUGUAAGACUUGAGUGCGGUAGAGGAAAGUGGAAUUCCCAGUGUAGCGGUGAAAUGCGUAGAUAUUCGGAGGAACACCAGUGGCGAAGGCGGCUUACUGGUCCAUUACUGACGCUGAGGUGCGAAAGCGUGGGGAGC